rnacentral:sRNA from 1 species
AACUAGCCCCGAGUGAAGCGGCAUCCUUUUAUACAGCUUCCAGCCCUCUGACGGCUGGAAGCUGUAUAAAAGAUAUAGCGGAAAGCGGGAACUUUA